GGGGGUUUGGCUCAGAGGUAGAGCGCUUGCUUGCCUGGCAAGCACAAGGCCCUGAGUUCGAUCCUCAGCUCUG
rnacentral:tRNA from 1 species